AGAGUUUGAUCCUGGCUCAGAACGAACGCUGGCGGCAUGCCUAACACAUGCAAGUCGAACGAGACCUUCGGGUCUAGUGGCGCACGGGUGCGUAACGCGUGGGAAUCUGCCCUUGGGUUCGGAAUAACUUCGGGAAACUGAAGCUAAUACCGGAUGAUGUCUUCGGACCAAAGAUUUAUCGCCCAGGGAUGAGCCCGCGUAGGAUUAGCUUGUUGGUGAGGUAAAAGCUCACCAAGGCGACGAUCCUUAGCUGGUCUGAGAGGAUGAUCAGCCACACUGGGACUGAGACACGGCCCAGACUCCUACGGGAGGCAGCAGUGGGGAAUAUUGGACAAUGGGCGAAAGCCUGAUCCAGCAAUGCCGCGUGAGUGAUGAAGGCCUUAGGGUUGUAAAGCUCUUUUGCCAGGGAUGAUAAUGACAGUACCUGGAGAAUAAGCUCCGGCUAACUCCGUGCCAGCAGCCGCGGUAAUACGGAGGGAGCUAGCGUUGUUCGGAAUUACUGGGCGUAAAGCGCGCGUAGGCGGCUUUGUAAGUUAGAGGUGAAAGCCCGGGGCUCAACCCCGGAACUGCCUUUAAGACUGCAUCGCUGGAAUCCGGGAGAGGUGAGUGGAAUUCCGAGUGUAGAGGUGAAGUUCGUAGAUAUUCGGAAGAACACCAGUGGCGAAGGCGGCUCACUGGACCGGUAUUGACGCUGAUGUGCGAAAGCGUGGGGAGCAAACAGGAUUAGAUACCCUAGUAGUCC
rnacentral:rRNA from 1 species